rnacentral:rRNA from 2 species
CGACUCUCGGCAACGGAUAUCUCGGCUCUCGCAUCGAUGAAGAACGUAGCGAAAUGCGAUACUUGGUGUGAAUUGCAGAAUCCCGUGAACCAUCGAGUUUUUGAACGCAAGUUGCGCCCAAAGCCACUCGGCCGAGGGCACGUCUGCCUGGGCGUCACGUAU